rnacentral:hammerhead_ribozyme from 1 species
GUACUGAUGAAGAGUCCCAAAUUAGGACGAAACAGCUGUGCAGUAC